rnacentral:rRNA from 1 species
AGCAGCCGCGGUAAUUCCAGCUCCAAUAGCGUAUAUUAAAGUUGUUGCAGUUAAAAAGCUCGUAGUUGAAUUUCGGAAUCUGUCCAUUGGUCGGGCUUCACUGUCCGUACUGGUGUGGUGGGUUCUUACCUUCUGAAUAACCAGCAUGCCAUUCACUUGGUGCGUUGGGGAAGCAGGACUAUUACCUUGAAAAAUUAGAGUGCUCAAAGCAGGCUAGUGCCUGAAUACAUUAGCAUGGAAUAAUAAAAUAGGACGGCAUGGUUCUAUUUUGUUGGUUUCUAGGAUCACCGUAAUGAUUAAUAGGGAUAGUUGGGGGCAUUAGUAUUCAAUUGUCAGAGGUGAAAUUCUUGGAUUUAUUGAAGACUAACUUCUGCGAAAGCAUUUGCCAAGGAUGUUUUCAUUAAUCAAGAACGAAAGUUAGGGGAUCGAAGACGAUCAGAUACCGUCGUAGUCUUAACCAUAAACUAUGCCGACUAGGGAUCGGACGAUGUUAAUUUUUAAUGACUC